rnacentral:rRNA from 1 species
UGGGGAAUCUUAGACAAUGGGGGAAACCCUGAUCUAGCCAUGCCGCGUGAGUGACGAAGGCCUUAGGGUCGUAAAGCUCUUUCGCCAGGGAUGAUAAUGACAGUACCUGGUAAAGAAACCCCGGCUAACUCCGUGCCAGCAGCCGCGGUAAUACGGAGGGGGUUAGCGUUGUUCGGAAUUACUGGGCGUAAAGCGCACGUAGGCGGACUAUUAAGUCAGGGGUGAAAUCCCGGGGCUCAACCCCGGAACUGCCUUUGAUACUGGUAGUCUUGAGUUCGAGAGAGGUGAGUGGAAUUCCGAGUGUAGAGGUGAAAUUCGUAGAUAUUCGGAGGAACACCAGUGGCGAAGGCGGCUCACUGGCUCGAUACUGACACUCAGGGACGAAAGCGAGGGGAGCGAAAGGGAUUAGAUACCCCCGUAGUCC